GAGUCCUGGUUUGGUAACUCCUUGGAUAUUGAGGAACAUCGGUUUAAGGCCAACCUAAAGCUUCGAUGGAUAUAUUUGCAUCAAAGAUUCGAAUAAUGGCUCACUGAAGAGCAAGUCUCGGUAAUACUUUUGCUCUAAACAAUUCGAUCUUAUCUCAUUCCUCUCUUAAAUCCACCCUAUAAUGGCACCACCACCCACGUUGCAUAAGUUUGUAUAUAGGUGUUUCUUUCACAAUUGUUUUUUAUAAAAAAGAAAAAUGUUUUUUUCAAAGAAGAAUUUUAGAUAAAUUUAAAAACCUUUCGACAAAAAAAGAAAGAUUAAAUUUAAAUAUUCAAAAGAAAAAGACCUUAAUCCCCAAAGUCGGUCAAUG